rnacentral:lncRNA from 1 species
GUUCCACAUCAAUAAGACGGGAGAACAAAGAAUGAGAAGAUAAGAAGACAGUGUGACAGUGUAUCUUCAUGAUGCUGAUUUCCAACAGAACCGACAGUCCGGUGCAUCUCAGAAGUUCUUGGGACAACAGCCCAUUUUCUCUCUGUCAGGAAAUGUUUCCUCUGCCUUCUGCUUUCUGUGCACUAAACAUUUUCCAACACUUGUUCUGCCAUCGACAUGAGAGGUGAUGAAAGUCAUCGGCGAUAGCCCAUGAUUCACGACACUGAAAAUCCCGAGGAAUGUUAGUUUGCAUGCUAGGGUUUAUGCAAAGCUCGUUUUGACUAUGUAAGAGGACAAAGCAGACACAUCGAUGAUGUAAUGAUACCAAAGCUAGGACUGCAAAUCCACCAGCCACAGAGGUUUGCAAUGGAGACUGGUGAUUCUGCCAUGAAUGUGUGGCCCCUGUGCUUUUGUUUGGCAAGAUCUUUAGCUACAAGCAAAACAUGAAGUUUCCUCCCAGGCUAAACAGAUAAUGGAGUCCACUGCCUUGUAGCUAUGUCAGAUAGCAAAGCCUUUCCAAGUCCUCCAUUACUUUGUGCCUUACAGGAAAUUUCUGACUAGAAAAUCUUGUCACUGUUACACUGAAAGUGCACACGCAUGACAAAAUGUAGACGAGACGCCUCAAGGUACUGGAUGCAAGCAGGAUUUUUGCCCUUUAGUUUUCCAAGACACCUUUCUUUUAUUAUGCACUUGAGACAAGAGAAUUAAUAGAGCGUUAAUUCAACAGGAAGACCGCCUCCAACCAAAGACCUGGAGCGCAGCAUAAGGACUUGUGAUUUGAGACGUUGUCCCCAGCCUGGUAGAUCCCCCUUUCUCAGCAUUUGGGAUUUAGCAGUGCAUAAAGCAUUAAUAUCUGUAAAAACACCUAGAUGUUUGUUUGGCUUUUAAUUUAAGGAAGCUGCAACCACAAAGCUUCCGCUCAGGGUUUUUUCUUCCUUCAAGUCUCCAAGGGCUCUUCAGCGUCACAAGCCAGCAACUCUCUUUGCAUGAAAAUUUCAAAGUUUAAUUAAUAUAAUUAAAGGCAACAGCAAGCAGCAGCCUGUGAAGAUUUUGCUCAUCUUUUUUAUGCCUUUUGACAUUGAGUGACCUAUCACUGUAUGCAUGUUACUUAGAAAUUGAGGAGCACCACACCUUGGUUGUGGUUCAGCCUGGGAAAGAGACCUCCUUCCUUCUGUUUAUAAAUUAAAAUCAGGAGGGGCGCCAUCAGAAAGCAUGGACAAUAUACAUACUAUAAAUUUUUAGAAAUAUCACCAUCGUGUCACGUCAACGAUGCCAAAUUAUGUUAGUGUGAGCAGAAACCCGGUGGGGGAGGAAGGCGGCAGCAGCCGAAGGAAAUAGCUCAGAUAAUCUAGUCACUUUCGAUACUGUACUUCAGAUGCGAAAUGGAUAUUCGACUGGAAACCUGACAAAGCGCGCCUGCUUUGAUGUGAACUGUUAUAGACAAUGACCAGUGGCCGGGUCAGUGGGAUGUCUCUCUGCGAGCACAAAGGCUUAUCAAAUGACACUAAAAAUAAGUUCAACAACCAUCACUUUGGAAGGGAGAAGGCGAACAUUUCAUGUUUGGCGGGCAUGUGAGUGCAGGAGAUGGAAAGAGCCAUUUAGAGCAUCCUCAUAUAAUUGCCCGCAUUGUACUCUUCAUGGAAAUUUCAAAGGACGGCAGUGAUAUUUUUCAUUGGUGUCCACGUUUGUGGCACUGCUCCAAGAAGCCUUAUGCACACAUACAAAUAUACAAAUGCACACACCUACACUCUCUAGCUUUAAUCUUUUUGCUCAACCUUAUUUAUAUCACUGACUGGCUGGAUCCAAAGUCACACCUCCACAUAUUAGUGAAUAAAAAAUUUUUACCU